rnacentral:rRNA from 1 species
UAGCGUAGGGGGCAAGCGUUGUCCGGAUUCAUUGGGCGUAAAGAGCGUGUAGGCGGCCAGGUAGGUCGGUUGUGAAAACUGGAGGCUCAACCUUCAGAGGUCGACCGAAACCAUCUGGCUAGAGUCCGGGAGAGGAGAGUGGAAUUCCUGGUGUAGCGGUGAAAUGCGUAGAGAUCAGGCGGAACACCCGUGGCGAAGGCGGCCAGCUGGGCCGUCCCUGACGCUGAGGCGCGAAGGCGUGGGGAUCAAACAGG